rnacentral:lncRNA from 1 species
UCACAUCUUUGCGGAUUGCCAAAAUAAGGUCCCUUGCCCAUGGUAUAAAGAUGCAUAUGUUAAGUGUUUUGCAGUGGUAAAAAACACUAAGAACAAAGGUAAAUUGUUCAAAUGUUGUAGCGAAAAUUGCGGAUUUUGGGAGUGGGUCAAAGAGGGUGAAACAUCCAAUAAAUCAAGUUCCGUUGGCAACUCCUUCACUAAUCAUGUGGCGACUGAAUUAGAAAACAACGUCUUUUGCAUGUUCGAACGAUGUGCCGAUUAACU